CAAUUCCUGGAAUGCUCGACACUCCUGUUUAUUUUGAACCUACAUUUUGACAUACGGGAUUCCUAUAUUUUUAAGCGGAUGUCAGGCCUCCUUCGAGUGGAAGGCAGAUGCUUAAGUGCGGUUGCCCACCUAGCGUUGCUAGGCGUCAAUUAUCCAGGAACCGGCAUUUUGGGAUUGCA
rnacentral:other from 1 species